UAAUAUUCAGUGCCUGUCUAAUUUGAGUGUAAUGAAAUCUGUUUCUUGUGAGGUUUUCCGUCCUCUGAUACAGAGAGCUGUGAAUGCCUGUCUGCAGAUGAAGAGGUCCCAAUGAAGCAUGGUGGUUCUCUGUCCUGGUCCUGGGAACUCAAAGGGGUGCACGUUUUUGCCUUAGCACUACACAGCUGAUUCAAAUGAUCAAGUCAUCAUCAAGCUUCAAGUGAUACCUUGUAACUGGAGAUUGCUUCAAAACGAUUGCCUACAGUUACCGUGUAGGGCACUGCAAGGUUGGGUGACCAUGACCAUCUCGGACUGCCUCCUGGGGGAAUUCAGGCAUGUGAAGGCUACCUGUGUCCUGCACAACUUCAUGAGGAUGGACACGAGGACCAGGAGGGGAUCUGCAGCUUGCCGUUGUGUGCCAGAAGAGAAGUCUGCUGCUCUGCACAAUGUUUCAAGGAUGAGGUCCAACAACGCAGCAAGAGAGGCAAUCCGUGUGCGGGAGAUCUUCACCUCCUACUUCUUCAAAGAGGGUGCUGUCUCCUGGCAAAACCAUAGACUAUACUAUGCACAAUCAAAGGCUAUUUUAAGAGCCAUCCACAUUGCAAUAAGAGUAUUCUUCAAUUUACUUAGCUAUGUCAACUGCAGUUAUUCAAUUCCCAGUUUCUCUCCAUUUGAUUUCUACUUCUCAGUUGAGGAUGCUGUUUAGGUAAAGGUGUGAUGUCUAUACAAAAACAAAACAGGCUAUUUUAACAGUUAGACACCCUAUAACCCACACCUACACACUCGCGUAUCAAUCUGAUUGAUGGAUUGUGUUGUGCAGUAAGCAGGCUCAGGUGUAUAACUGUGGCUCCUUCCAACUUCAAAUAGGCAUGAGGGCCAACCAUGGAGAAUAGUUAUAUCAGAUGUGAACAGGCUACAUAGAGGGCACAACAUGAUCAGAGGUAUGUUUUGAUGUGAGAUGCCAACCCCCAGUCCCGACAUCGCCACCUCACCCGCUCUUAAGAUAACCUUCGGGCCGACUGGGGGCCUAAGGCUGGUUAGGAGACUAAGCUAGAGACACUAUUAUGUAAUUGUGAUGAACAAAGAAUAUUAGGGUAACACUGUGAUUCAUUAAUCAUAUACGGUCUAACCUGCUACUCUGUUCCCUUUUUGUCUUUUAUACCUUUCUCGCCACCUCUUUCUUCCUCUGUUUUUAUAAUGCACACCAGAUGUGCAUUUAAGUGCAGAUUAUACUUGUAUGUAUAAAUAUAAUAUUACAAUUAUA